rnacentral:ncRNA from 1 species
GAUUGACGAAGUUUUUUUAGCUCUUUAAGGGGUAGAGAUCCGCUGCCCCCCGACGUGGCCCCCCCUCGAACCGGGGGCAUUCGUAUUUCAUAGUCAGAGGUGAAACUCUUGGAUUUAUGAAAGAUGAACAACUGCAAAAGCAUUUGCCAAUGAUGUUUUCAUUAAUCAAGAACGAAAGUUGGGGGCUCGAAGAUGAUCAGAUACCGUCCUAGUCUCAACCAUAAA